UAGAUGCCACAAUCGAUGGUACGACCAUCCUUAGCUCUAGGAUGUCAUACUCGAUUUGCGAGAUGUCAUAAUUGGGGGGCGUGAUGGCAUAUUUGUCUGAAAAGAUACCAUCGGAAACUAUUUCGACACUAGGAUUGGAGGUUAAAAUCGAAGGCAGAACUCGACGUGGAACCUAACCAAGGCAAUGACUUCAUCUAACUAUCCACGGAGAUGCUGUGAUAAAUAAACUACUGAAA
rnacentral:lncRNA from 1 species